rnacentral:rRNA from 1 species
AACGGGUGAGUAACACGUGGGUAACCUGCCCAUCAGAAGGGGAUAACACUUGGAAACAGGUGCUAAUACCGUAUAACACUAUUUUCCGCAUGGAAGAAAGUUGAAAGGCGCUUUUGCGUCACUGAUGGAUGGACCCGCGGUGCAUUAGCUAGUUGGUGAGGUAACGGCUCACCAAGGCAACGAUGCAUAGCCGACCUGAGAGGGUGAUCGGCCACACUGGGACUGAGACACGGCCCAGACUCCUACGGGAGGCAGCAGUAGGGAAUCUUCGGCAAUGGACGAAAGUCUGACCGAGCAACGCCGCGUGAGUGAAGAAGGUUUUCGGAUCGUAAAACUCUGUUGUUAGAGAAGAACAAGGAUGAGAGUAAAAUGUUCAUCCCUUGACGGUAUCUAACCAGAAAGCCACGGCUAACUACGUGCCAGCAGCCGCGGUAAUACGUAGGUGGCAAGCGUUGUCCGGAUUUAUUGGGCGUAAAGCGAGCGCAGGCGGUUUCUUAAGUCUGAUGUGAAAGCCCCCGGCUCAACCGGGGAGGGUCAUUGGAAACUGGGAGACUUGAGUGCAGAAGAGGAGAGUGGAAUUCCAUGUGUAGCGGUGAAAUGCGUAGAUAUAUGGAGGAACACCAGUGGCGAAGGCGGCUCUCUGGUCUGUAACUGACGCUGAGGCUCGAAAGCGUGGGGAGCGAACAGGAUUAGAUACCCUGGUAGUCCACGCCGUAAACGAUGAGUGCUAAGUGUUGGAGGGUUUCCGCCCUUCAGUGCUGCAGCAAACGCAUUAAGCACUCCGCCUGGGGAGUACGACCGCAAGGUUGAAACUCAAAGGAAUUGACGGGGGCCCGCACAAGCGGUGGAGCAUGUGGUUUAAUUCGAAGCAACGCGAAGAACCUUACCAGGUCUUGACAUCCUUUGACCACUCUAGAGAUAGAGCUUCCCCUUCGGGGGCAAAGUGACAGGUGGUGCAUGGUUGUCGUCAGCUCGUGUCGUGAGAUGUUGGGUUAAGUCCCGCAACGAGCGCAACCCUUAUUGUUAGUUGCCAUCAUUUAGUUGGGCACUCUAGCGAGACUGCCGGUGACAAACCGGAGGAAGGUGGGGAUGACGUCAAAUCAUCAUGCCCCUUAUGACCUGGGCUACACACGUGCUACAAUGGGAAGUACAACGAGUUGCGAAGUCGCGAGGCUAAGCUAAUCUCUUAAAGCUUCUCUCAGUUCGGAUUGUAGCUGCAACUCGCCUACAUGAAGCCG